UAGAUACCCUGGUAGUCCACGCAGUAAACGAUGAAUGUUAGUCGUCGGGAUGCAAGUCAUUUCGGUGAUGCAGUUAACACAUUAAACAUUCCGCCUGGGGAGUACGGUCGCAAGAUUAAAACUCAAAGGAAUAGACGGGGACCCGCACAAGUGGUGGAGCAUGUGGUUUAAUUCGAAGAUACGCGAAGAACCAUACCUAGCCUUGACAUUGAUAGAAUCUUCCAGAGAUGGAGGAGUGCCUUUCGGGGAACUUGAAAACAGGUGCUGCACGGCUGUCGUCAGCUCGUGUCGUGAGAUGUUGGGUUAAGUCCCGCAACGAGCGCAACCCUCGUCAUUAGUUACUAACAGUUCGGCUGAGGACUCUAAUAAGACUGCCUUCGUAAGGAGGAGGAAGGUGAGGACGACGUCAAGUCAUCAUGGCCCUUACGGCUAGGGCGACACACGUGCUACAAUGGUUAGGACAAUGAGAAGCGAUACCGCGAGGUGGAGCAAAUCUAUAAACCUAAUCUCAGUUCGGAUUGUAGUCUGCAACUCGACUACAUGAAGCUGGAAUCACUAGUAAUCGUAGAUCAGCCAUGCUACGGUGAAUACGUUCCCGGGUCUUGUACUCACCGCCCGUCACACCAUGGGAGUUGAUUUCACCCGAAGCGGGGAAGCUAAACUGGCUACCCUCCACGGUGGAAUUAGCGACUGGGGUGAAGUCGUAACAAGGUA
rnacentral:rRNA from 1 species